rnacentral:rRNA from 1 species
UACGUAGGGGGCAAGCGUUGUCCGGAAUCAUUGGGCGUAAAGCGCGCGUAGGCGGCCCGGUAAGUCCGCUGUGAAAGUCAAAGGCUCAACCUUUGAAUGUCAGCGGAUACUGCCGGGCUAGAGUCCGGAAGAGGCGAGUGGAACUCCUGGUGUAGCGGUGAAAUGCGCAGAUAUCAGGAGGAACACCAAUUGCGAAGGCAGCUCGCUGGGACGUUACUGACGCUGAGACGCGAAAGCGUGGGGAGCAAACAGG